UACAGAGGGGGCAAGCGUUGUUCGGAAUCACUGGGCUUAAAGGGCGCGUAGGGGGGUGCUCAAGUCUGUGGUGAAAUCCUCCGGCUCAACCGGAGAACUGCCAUGGAUACUGGGUGCCUCGAGGGUGGUAGGGGUAUGCGGAACUAUCGGUGGAGCGGUGAAAUGCGUUGAUAUCGAUAGGAACUCCGGUGGCGAAGGCGGCAUACUGGACCACUUCUGACGCUGAGGCGCGAAAGCCAGGGGAGCAAACGGG
rnacentral:rRNA from 1 species